rnacentral:rRNA from 1 species
GAGUUUGAUCCUGGCUCAGAACGAACUCUGGCGGCAGGCCUCAUACAUGCAAGUCUAACGAACCCUUCGGGGUGAGUGGCGCACGGGUGCGUAACACGUGGGAAUAUGCCCAUUGGUACGGAAUAACUUUUGGAAACGAAAGCUAAUACCGUAUAGUCCCUCCGGGGUAAAGAUUUAUCGCCAAUGGAUUAUCCCGCGUCUGAUUAGCUAGUUGGUAGGGUAAUGGCCUACCAAGGCGACGAUCAGUAGCUGGUCUGAGAGGAUGAUCAGCCACACUGGGACUGAGACACGGCCCAUACUCCUACGGGAGGCAGCAGUAGGGAAUAUUGGACAAUGGGCGCAAGCCUGAUUCAUUAAGUUGGGCACUCUGGCGAGACUGCCGGUGAUAAGCCGGAGGAAGGCGGGGAUGACGUCAAGUCAUCAUGCCCCUUAUGGGCUGGGCUACACACGUGCUACAAUGGCGGUGACAAUGGGCAGCGACCUCGCGAGGGGAAGCAAAUCCCUAAAAACCGUCUCAGUUCGGAUUGCACUCUGCAACUCGAGUGCAUGAAGUUGGAAUCGCUAGUAAUCGUGGAUCAGCAUGCCACGGUGAAUACGUUCCCGGGUCUUGUACACACCGCCCGUCAAGUGAUGGGAAUUGGUUUCACCUGAAGCCGGUGCGCUAACCUUUUGGAAGCAGCCGACCACGGUGGGAUCAGUGACUGGCACUAAGUUGUAACAAGGUAGCCGUAGGGGAACCUGCGGCUGGAUCACCUCCUUUCU